UUGUUUUUUUUAUACGCCGAUGCAAACCAGAGCACUACACGACAGACGAGUGAGCUUGAUGAGGUUGAUAACUGCCUGUAAAGUUGUUGAAACUACAUUUUUUGUUCGAGUUAUCAGUUCCGAGGACUUCCGUGUAAGGAAGAGAAGGGUUUCUUGCCAAACCUGACCGUGUGGAUAUUGAUUUUUAUCGAGCGAAAACUCCGAGAAAAACUCUGUUCAAAGAUGUGGAUGGGCCCUUUAACAAAAAGGCUGACUCACACAACAUCUCCACAUUUACAUGGGAUGGUGUUCUGGACUGGGCUGACAGCAAGGCACCCCUCCUGAUGGCAUCUUUGAGAGCCACAUUCCCACCAGCCAAAGGACAAUUAAAAACAAAAAUCCCCAGGAGAACCGGAGUAAGAGGCAGAAGAAUCCUGAAGCGUCCAGCGAAAACCAGAGAGCCACUAAACAGACCUCGCAAGCUCACCAAAGACAAAAGUGAGCACCAAGCUCUCGUGGAACAGAGGACUGGAUUGGCUCUAUCGAUGGCACUCUUCACAUGCAACAGGAAGAACAACUUCAUCGUUCAAUUGUCCACCACUGAAAGACACAAUGGAGAGCAGCAGUGAAAGGACCAGUAUGAGUCAGGCCUCUGGUACCGACUCACCGGUGACCCGGCACGAUGAUCGUGUGGCGGCGUUAGCAGAGGAGAGUAUGUUGAACGAUGGGACGGAGCGGGACAUGCAGGAGGAGAUGUCCCACAAAAUCCUGUCCUCCUUCCUCAACAACCUAGAAGACCGACGGUUGGAGCCUGCCCGGGAUGAGACAACCUCGCCAGGUCCCCCACCAUAUUCAGCAUCAGCACACACAGGAAAUGAACAGCAGAAGCAAUGUAGUUAACCUGGGUGUGCUGUCCUGCAACCCCAGCUCCAACUCUGGAGUCAUAGAAAUAAUGACUUUCCUCCACCAGUUUGUACCGGUGAGGGACAACAAACUGCUGCCCAUCCUUUGCUGUGGGGAUGGUCUGAGCGUGGAGAGGAUGAUCCAUUGUCACCGUGCGCGGAAUACCGGAGAGAUACCUUCCGACCGAUUGGAGGGACUCAUACCUACCCCACAGGAGUUCCAUCGUGAGAUGAUUUUGCUACAGCUUAAUUUUGUUUCUACAGGUUUUAAACUUCUUAAGUCAAUUGAUUAGUCAACAAAUAUAAAUUUUAAAACUCUUUUUUUCCACACUUGUAUACUGUAUUAAGGACACUGUCAGUGUCCUAUUCCAAAAAUGUAUGUCUUAAAUGUGUAAAACAUGGUCAACAUGUCUCAUUCAAUGCCCACAGCUGUAGAUUGCUAACAUUCUACUUCUAUGUAUACAUGGGACACAAUGGACCUACUCUACAUCCACGAGAGUGAUUUUGCGAGAGGCACCAUCGCUCAUCUGAAAAAUGACUUUGACCACAGGUCAUUUAAAAAACAAGUGUCAGCAAAUGUCCAGCAUUCUUGGGACAUGAUGGAAUUUGCUAGCUGCAGUGCUGGCUCCAUCUCUCUUGUGCAGGCCUUUCCCAAGCCCCAAAGGGAGACUGGUUCUGUAGUGAGCAGUGUGAGGAGGACAGUAGCUAUAUUUAUUGCUGGUGCCAGGAAAGACAAGAGGGAGAAAUGGUUCAGUGCCAGCUGGCUGACACCUGUACCAAGCAUGAGUGGUACCACAUGGCAUGCCUCAUGCCAUCUGACCGACCUGAUGCACAGGACAUCUGCGAAGAUGUCUGCGAAGGCUGCAAAGUGGUGGACUCAGGUCGGAAGGGAGAGGAUUUUGUCCUUAACUACACAAAGGCCUUAAUGUGGGAGGGACUUAAUCUCCUCGCAAGGAAGGAUGCGGUGCGGGAAGGUGAUGGGCCAGCAAUGAUGGAGAGUUGGAAGAUGGAGCUUAUGCAAUUCUGGAGCAGGAGCCAUCCCAAAUACUUUAUCAUAGCCCACAACAUGCUAACUGGAGUAGAAGGCUACCUUUCUGAAGGUCUAAGGAACGGCAUGACGUGGAAUAGAGUUGCCAACCUGACGGGGACACCAGGGUGAAACGUCGGCCUUGACCUUGUCAACGAGUUCCUCAACAACGAUUUCAAACAAAUGAUGAAGAGAUCCAAUGGCAAAUACACAGACAAUAAGGCCAAAAGGUGUGCGGAGAUGGGAGGAGCAUUUGGGAAGGACCUCGACAAUGUCCUUACAAGUGUAGGAGUCGUCUCGUUUGGGGAUACAUGGUCAAGACGAAGCAGUCUCAAAAAGAGACAGAGGGAGGAUGUCGGGCGAUUUGUAAAAGAAUACCGAUCUGACAGACUGUUCGUUCACCUGUGUCCCUGGGAGAUACCACCGUGGCCUGAACAACUUUAAGUACAACACCAACAUCAGAAACCCAAAGAAAAUGGGAAAGAAGAUGCGGCAGUUGGCCCAGGACAUGGAUAAGUGGGACACCUUCUGUGGUAUUCAACCUGUACAGGACUAGAAAAUGUACGCAGACUGGUUACUGUGCCUAUAAGGUUUCACCGCGAUGUGCGCCAUGUGUUAGUGUAAACUGAAACGUGUAGGCUGGUCAGUAAAGGCAACCACACGAAG